rnacentral:rRNA from 1 species
UACAGAGGGUGCAAGCGUUAAUCGGAAUUACUGGGCGUAAAGCGUGCGUAGACGGUUACAUAAGUCAGAUGUGAAAGCCCCGGGCUCAACCUGGGAAUUGCAUUUGAGACUGUGUAGCUAGGGUGCGGAAGAGGGAAGCGGAAUUUCCGGUGUAGCGGUGAAAUGCGUAGAUAUCGGAAGGAACACCAGUGGCGAAAGCGGCCUGCUGGGCAGUUACUGACACUGAGGCGCGACAGCGUGGGGAGCAAACAGG